UGUCUAAGUACAUGCCGUAUUAAGGCGAAACCGCGAAUGGCUCAUUAAAUCAGUUAUGGUUCCUUGGAUCGUACCUUACUACUUGGAUAACUGUGGCAAUUCUAGAGCUAAUACAUGCAGCAGAGCUCCGACCUUCGGGGACGAGCGCUUUUAUUAGACCAAAACCAAUCGGACCUCGUGUCCGUUCUAUGUGGUGACUCUGUAUAACUUUGGGCUGAUCGCACGGGCUCGUCCCGGCGACGUAUCUUUCAAGUGUCUGCCUUAUCAACUGUCGAUGGUAGGUUACGCGCCUACCAUGGUCGUAACGGGUGACGGGGAAUCAGGGUUCGAUUCCGGAGAGGGAGCCUGAGAAACGGCUACCACAUCCAAGGAAGGCAGCAGGCGCGCAAAUUACCCACUCCCAGAACGGGGAGGUAGUGACGAAAAAUAACAAUACGGGACUCUUUUGAGACCCCGUAAUUGGAAUGAGUACACUCUAAAUCCUUUAACGAGGAUCCAUUGGAGGGCAAGUCUGGUGCCAGCAGCCGCGGUAAUUCCAGCUCCAAUAGCGUAUAUUAAAGUUGUUGCGGUUAAAAAGCUCGUAGUUGGAUCUCAGUUCCAGACGGGUGGUCCGCCUACCGGUGGUUACUGCCUGUUCUGAACAGCCAGCCGGUUUCCUUUGAUGAUCUUCACCGGUUGUCUUGGGUGACCGGCAAGUUUACUUUGAAAAAAUUAGAGUGCUCAAAGCAGGCGUGACGCCUGAAUAAUGGUGCAUGGAAUAAUGGAAUAGGACCUCGGUUCUAUUUUGUUGGUUUUCGGAAUACGAGGUAAUGAUUAAGAGGGACAGACGGGGGCAUUCGUAUUGCGGCGCUAGA
rnacentral:rRNA from 1 species